ACAUUCUUCUAGAGAAUGUCUGUUACAUUAAAUUCUCUACCUCUUACACACGUUUCUUUGGAAACAUGUAUAGCGCCUCACUGAGGAGAGACAGAAUCUAUGUGUGCAGGUAACACAGUUCUGGCAUAUUUUAAAUUUUCAAAUGUGAUAUCUUGUUUCCUGUGGUUAUCUGAGUCCUUUAGCUUUUUUCAUGUUGGAUAUUCUCUCCUCCCCAUUAUGUGGGAUGUAGCAUUAGCCUUGGUACUCCUUUUACACACCAGUCGAAUCAGUAGUGCCCACUCAUUCAAGGGAGCUCCAAUAACUUUAUAAUUAAAGCAUUCUUUAGGGAGGCAUCUUUAAGACAAGGACCCCAAGGAUGCCUUUGGUUCCUGCUCCCAUCUAGCACACUGGUUGGUCUAGGCUGGCCCAGAGUGGUUCAUCCAUUCUAAAGGAAACUUGGACCCAUGGAAGUCAACAUUUUUCCAAAGGCUGGGAGUGAUGUGCUGGAACAGAGGUGUUUGCUCACUUCCUAUGAGUGAAGGGCACCUAAGGAAGAUCCGGGGACCAGCAGUUCUCCCUAUACAUCCCAGAAAUGGCUGGCCUUCACAUCAAAUGAGAUAGCUGUGGAUCUGUCCAUUUUAUCUAUAACUGAAGGACAUCUAUAAGGUUGUUGCUACGACUUCAUCUUCAAGCAGUCUUAAUGUUUUCUCAUUAUUUUCAAACAGUAAAUGUUAAUUCCUUUUAUA